UCAAUUCAUAGAGAAAAGAAGGAAAUGAAAGAAAAGAAAGUAAAAAAAAACAAAAAACAGGACA
rnacentral:ribozyme from 1 species